CGCGGCCUAUCAGCUUGUUGGUGGGGUAAUGGCCUACCAAGGCGACGACAGGUAGCCGGCCUGAGAGGGCGACCGGCCACACUGGGACUGAGACACGGCCCAGACUCCUACGGGAGGCAGCAGUGGGGAAUAUUGCACAAUGGGCGGAAGCCUGAUGCAGCGACGCCGCGUGAGGGAUGACGGCCUUCGGGUUGUAAACCUCUUUCAGCAGGGACGAAGCGUAAGUGACGGUACCUGCAGAAGAAGCGCCGGCCGACUACGUGCCAGCAGCCGCGGUAAGACGUAGGGCGCGAGCGUUGUCCGGAUUUAUUGGGCGUAAAGAGCUCGUAGGCGGCUUGUCGCGUCGACUGUGAAAACCCGCAGCUUAACUGCGGGCCUGCAGUCGAUACGGGCAGGCUAGAGUUCGGUAGGGGAGACUGGAAUUCCUGGUGUAGCGGUGGAAUGCGCAGAUAUCAGGAGGAACACCGGUGGCGAAGGCGGGUCUCUGGGCCGAUACUGACGCUGAGGAGCGAAAGCGUGGGGAGCGAACAGGAUUAGAUACCCUGGCAGUCCACGCUGUAAACGUUGGGCGCUAGGUGUGGGGGACCUCUCCGGUUCUCUGUGCCGCAGCUAACGCAUUAAGCGCCCCGCCUGGGGAGUACGG
rnacentral:rRNA from 1 species